GAAUCUUACCAGUCGAGGUAUGGAGCAAUUGUGAUGGAUGAUCAGAAUGAUGAUGGAAGUUUGGGAUAUACUGUACUGCAUAAUAGUUCUUGUCAGCAUGCUGCUCCAACUUAUAUCAAUGUAAUGAAUGCAGCAAUUCUUAGGCUUGCUACUGGUGACAAAAAUAUGACAAUUAGAACUCGCAAUCACCCUUUGCCAAUGACAAAGAGCCAGCACUUGCAACGACAUGACUUGGAUGCCUUCUCUGCUGCUGUUAUUAUUAAUAUCGCCUUCUCAUUUAUUCCUGCUUCAUUUGCUGUUGCCAUUGUGAAGGAACGUGAAGUGAAGGCCAAGCACCAACAGUUGAUUAGUGGGGUUUCUGUACUUUCAUAUUGGGCUUCUACAUAUAUUUGGGACUUCAUCAGCUUCUUAUUUCCUUCAUUUCUGGCAAU
rnacentral:misc_RNA from 1 species